AUACGGAUGGUGCGAGCGUUGUUCGGAAUUACUGGGCGUAAAGGGCGCGUAGGCGGCGAUGUAAGUCAAAUGUGAAAGUCCUCGGCUUAACCGGGGAAGUGCAUCUGAAACUGCAUUGCUUGAGUAUGGGAGAGGAAAGUGGAAUUCCCGGUGUAGAGGUGAAAUUCGUAGAGAUCGGGAGGAAUACCGGUGGCGAAGGCGACGUUCUGGACCAAUACUGACGCUGAGGCGCGAAAGCGUGGGGAGCAAACAGGAUUAGAUACCCUAGUAGUCC
rnacentral:rRNA from 1 species